CCCCGGGCUCAACCUGGGAACUGCGUUNUGAACUGGGUGACUAGAGUGUGUCAGAGGGAGGUAGAAUUCCACGUGUAGCAGUGAAAUGCGUAGAGAUGUGGAGGAAUACCGAUGGCGAAGGCAGCCUCCUGGGAUAACACUGACGUUCAUGCCCGAAAGCGUGGGUAGCAAACAGGAUUAGAUACCCUGGUAGUCCACGCCCUAAACGAUGUCGAUUAGCUGUUGGGCAGCAUGACUGCUUAGUAGCGAAGCUAACGCGUGAAAUCGACCGCCUGGGGAGUACGGUCGCAAGAUUAAAACUCAAAGGAAUUGACGGGGACCCGCACAAGCGGUGGAUGAUGUGGAUUAAUUCGAUGCAACGCGAAGAACCUUACCUGGUCUUGACAUGUACGGAACCCUCCAGAGACGGAGGGGUGCCUUCGGGAGCCGUAACACAGGUGCUGCAUGGCUGUCGUCAGCUCGUGUCGUGAGAUGUUGGGUAAGUCCCGCAACGAGCGCAACCCUUGUCAUUAAUUGCCAUCAUUAAGUUGGGCACUCUAAUGAGACUGCCGGUGACAAGCCGAAGGAAGGUGGGGAUGACGUCAAGUCCUCAUGGCCCUUAUGACCAGGGCUUCACACGUCAUACAAUGGUCGGUACAGAGGGUAGCCAAGCCGCGAGGUGGAGCCAAUCUCACAAAACCGAUCGUAGUCCGGAUUGCACUCUGCAACUCGAGUGCAUGAAGUCGGAAUCGCUAGUAAUCGCAGGUCAGCAUACUGCGGUGAAUACGUUCCCGGGUCUUGUACACACCGCCCGUCACACCAUGGGAGUGGGGGAUACCAGAAGUAGGUAGGGUAACCGCAAGGAGCCCG
rnacentral:rRNA from 1 species